AUGUCAGGUGUACCCGCGACUGCUCGUUUUACGAACGCUUAAAAGUUUAUAGGCGGCAGUAAACGGCCGCAUUUACCUUUAUUUCGCCGGUUCCCGGUCGGGCGAACAACUCGUUUCUAAAGGGCUAUCCCGAGGCCUUUUUAUUCUCUCUUCCGAAUGCUUGUCUCUUCAUUCACUUUUGUAGACCAUUAUAGCGCCUCUCUCGUAAUACGAGACGUCAGUCGAUUUGUCUUUGAGACGGGUUUUUAGUGCUCCACUGACGAACGAGAAAUAAACUAGAAAUCGCUAAAUACGUGAUUACUGUCGUGCAUGGUUACCGAAGAUGUUAUCGACGUAUGGUAAGAGCUCUAGUGUGGAAGUUUUGAUGGAAGUUUAUGGGAGUGUAAUUUCGUUGACAUUAGAAAGUGAAAUGGUGUGAUUCCGUGAUACUGAAUGAAAUAAAUCUAGUGUGGUGUGAAAUUUAUAGAAUGAUAGAUUAUGAAAGAUGAAGUGAAAAUUAGAAUAUAUUUGAAAUUACUUAUUUGAUUAUAGAAAGAUCUCCAAGAAAGAUUUCUUAAUAGCGAGGAAAGCUCGAACAUAAAUGCUAUUCUUAAGUGUCACGACAUGUGAUUCCAAUUAAAUGUCACUAACAAUAAGUAUUCGGAUGAUCAUUUGAAUCUUCGAAUCGGCAAACAUGUGAAUCACGUCUAAACACAGCGUUUAAGGACAAGGCCACAAACAAUCGAAUCACCGUUGAACGACGUGAAUUAUUGGCGCAGUUGGGAUACACCGUGGCCUGGAAUGAUCUACGACGAUCGUAAAACCUGCUCGAUCGUAAAUCGUCGCAGUACAUUCUAAAGCCGUCACAUAACGAUAGUAAUGACCGAUACGAACGAUCGAGCGUCGAUCGCUGUGAUUUCCAUUCAAAAUUCGCUUAUACAUUCAUACGAACGACACAAUGAACAUGGAACAAGUAGCGACGCCAAUCGAACGGUGAUCUCAUCGAUGAAUCACGAUCCUCGAUCAUUCCUUUUCCUUUCUGCUUUCGUUUUAAACCGGGUUAGCUGUCGGCAGCCACAGUUGUCUGCUCGCUGUUUAUACGUUUAAAUGUUAUUGCUCGUAAAAACGACACAUUACGUAGCUGUUUGUUCUUUUCCAAGUAUCUUGAAUGGAAUCUUAUCCGCUUCACCGGUGGCAAAGAUUUUUAUUUUUUUUAUUUUUUUUUUUUUGAAUUGAAAUGAUGAAAUUGUAUAUAAAAGAUAGGUUAGUUUAGGUAAUUGAUAUUUGAAAUUGUCUAGAUAAUGAUAUGAUAAUAUAUACUUUCGAUAUUUCUAAUGAAAUUUAAUUUUUUACUGGCAUUUUAUACAUUUUCUUAAAUAGCAUCGUUAAUUUUUUAAAUUAUUAUUUCAAUUUUUAUUAAUUUAUUGAUAAAAUUAAAAGGAUUGUUAUUACAAAUAUUGAAGAAUGUUAUCUCAAUUAAUGCUCAAUUAAUGUUUACGUUCCAAUAAAUCAAAUUUUUUAUUUCUUCAUUAUCUAAAGAGUAAAUACACGUCUACUUUAUCAUCAUUUAUCUUUUCCUGUCUUUUAAAAAAUCUUCGUAUUAUACUUACAACAUGUUUGAAUCAUUGUCACACAAGACAUAGCAUGACACAAUAUUGGUGCGAAAUUUCUCGUCAAAUGACAGCUUGACAUGAAUGAAGCCACGUAGGAUCAUAGAAACGACACUCAUCCGAGAGAACGAGCGAUUACGCAAGUUGUCGGUUUUAUGAGCAAAAUAGUGACUCUCGGGACAACGACUGCCAGCAAACAUGAGUCAAGUGAUGACCUCAAUGACACGAUAAUGACAUGAAGUUGAAAAAAUAUCUAAAAAUUUGAAAUCGCUUUUAAAUUAAAUUAUUUUUUUUUUUAUUGAAAAUAAUUUAAGUAUAUCGAUAAAUUCUUUACGAGGCAAUUUUUUAAGGUUAGCAAAUCCUAAUUUGCUUAAUUUUUGAUUAAUUUGAUUCUUGAAGUUAAAUAUUUUUCGCGUCGAAAUUUUUAAUUGGUAAUAUACAUUCACUGUAUAAAUUACCGAAAAUAUUUUUACCAAAGUUCGAAAUACGUUUUUUGUUGAUACUAGAUCAUUAAAUGUGAAAUUAGAUUAAUAUUCUACUAAAUAGUGUCGACUUUGCUAUUUAUAAAUUAUACGUUAAUUGUAUUUAAUUGCAAGAUAUUUUUGUAUUUAAUUGCAAGAUAUACGUAUAUCCGUUUCGUUUUAUGUUUAAUAAAUUUAUUAACUCUC